CGACCACCAACAAUGGCGGCGUUCACGGCAGCACUACUCAUUUUCACCACCAUACUCACAACCACCACCGCACACAACAUCACCCGCAUUCUCGCCAAACACCCUGAACUCUCCACCUUCAACCACUACCUAUCCCUAACCCACCUGGCUUCACAAAUCGACAGCCGAACAACCAUCACCGUCUGCGCCGUCGACAACGCCGCCAUGGAAGAUCUCCUCUCAAAACACCUUUCAAUAAACACCAUCAAAAACAUCCUCUCCCUCCACGUCCUCCUUGACUACUUCGGCGCCAAAAAGCUUCACCAAAUCACCAACGGCACAGCUCUCGCCGCCACAAUGUACCAAGCCACCGGCACCGCACCUGGCUCCUCGGGAUUCGUCAACAUCACCGAUCUCCGCGGCGGAAAAGUCGGAUUCGGCGCUGAAAACAACGACGGAGCACUAACUGCUUCAUACGUUAAAUCCGUUGAAGAAAUUCCUUACAACAUCUCCGUCAUUCAAAUCAGCUCC
rnacentral:lncRNA from 1 species